GACGAACGCUGGCGGCGUGCUUAAUACAUGCAAGUCGAACGGAAAGGCCCUGCUCUUGCGGGGUGCUCGAGUGGCGAAGGGGUGAGUAAAACGUGUGUAACCCGCCCCUGAAUUUGGGAUAACUUCUGGAAAAUGGGGCUAAUACCCGAUAGGAGCUCCUGCUGCAUGGUGGGGGUUGGAAAGUUUCGGCGGUUGGGGCUGGACUCGCGGGUUAUCCGCUUGUUGGGGGGGUAGGGGCUUACCAAGGCUUUGACGGGUAGCCGGCCUGGGCGGGGGACCGGCCACAUUGGGACUGCGGGAGGGCCCAGUAGCCUACGGGAGGCAGCAGUGGGGAAUAUGACACAAUGGGCGGAAGCCAGAGGCGACGACCUCGCGAGCGGGAUGACGGCUUUCUGGUGAAAAACCGCUUUCGCCUUAAACGAAGCGGGAUUGACGGUAAUUGGUAAAGAAGCACCGGCUAACUACGUG
rnacentral:rRNA from 1 species